rnacentral:rRNA from 1 species
GAGAAAUUCGGAUUAAUACCCCAUAGUAUCAUAAAGCAGCAUUGUUUAAUGAUUAAAGAUUUAUUGGUAGUAGAUGGGCAUGCGUGACAUUAGCUAGUUGGUAGGGUAAUGGCUUACCAAGGCAACGAUGUCUAGGGGACCUGAGAGGGUGAUCCCCCACACUGGUACUGAGACACGGACCAGACUCCUACGGGAGGCAGCAGUAGGGAAUAUUGGUCAAUGGAGGCAACUCUGAACCAGCCAUGCCGCGUGUAGGAAGACGGCCUUCUGGGUUGUAAACUACUUUUAUACGGGAAGAGAUAGCCUUGCGAGGUGAAGGGACGGUACCGUAAGAAUAAGCACCGGCUAACUCCGUGCCAGCAGCCGCGGUAAUACGGAGGGUGCAAGCGUUGUCCGGAAUUAUUGGGUUUAAAGGGUGCGUAGGCGGUCUAAUAAGUCAGAGGUGAAAUCCCACAGCUUAACUGUGGAACUGCCUUUGAUACUGUUAGACUUGAAUAAAGUAAAGGUAGGCGGAAUUUAUUGUGUAGCGGUGAAAUGCAUAGAUACGAUAAAGAACUCCAAUAGCGAAGGCAGCUUACUGGACUUAUAUUGACGCUGAGGCACGAAAGCGUGGGUAGCGAACGGGAUUAGAUACCCCGGUAGUCCACGCCGUAAACGA